UAACAAGUGAGACAUCCGACCGGUGCCCAGU
rnacentral:piRNA from 1 species